CAUAAGAUCCCGCCGGGGAUGCCAAGUAAUAAUUACUUUCAUUAGGCCUUUGAAGAAAGUAAUUGUUACUUGGCUUUUUU
rnacentral:ncRNA from 1 species